AACAAAAGAUCAAAUAGCUUUAUAUCCUCCUUACAUACGGGUCUGUGGCCAUGUGGCCAUCUCAUCCUCAAGCUACAACAACUCGGCUUAGUCCCAUCUUUUGCUAUCGCUGGAUAUAGAGCCUAAAAGAUACACAGUGCACAUCACGCUGCGCCCGAAAUGAACAUGACCAAUCAAGGAAUGUGACAUGCAUGGGUGGGCCAAGCAUGCGCAUGUAUGGUCACUGACCCACUUCCUCUAAA
rnacentral:lncRNA from 1 species